GUGCUCACUUCGGUAGUACAUACACUAAAACUGGAACAAUACAGAGACUAGCAUGGCCCCUGCCCAAGGAUGACACACAAACCCAUGAAGUGUUCCAUAUUUUU
ensembl:snRNA U6 U6 spliceosomal RNA